rnacentral:rRNA from 1 species
CCUUUGAGAGUAACUGUUCAAGGGUUGACGGUAUUUAACCAGAAAGCCACGGCUAACUACGUGCCAGCAGCCGCGGUAAUACGUAGGUGGCAAGCGUUGUCCGGAUUUAUUGGGCGUAAAGCGAGCGCAGGCGGUUUUUUUAAGUCUGAUGUGAAAGCCUUCGGCUUAACCGGAGAAGUGCAUCGGAAACUGGGAGACUUGAGUGCAGAAGAGGACAGUGGAACUCCAUGUGUAGCGGUGGAAUGCGUAGAUAUAUGGAAGAACACCAGUGGCGAAGGCGGCUGUCUAGUCUGUAACUGACGCUGAGGCUCGAAAGCAUGGGUAGCGAACAGGAUUAGAUACCCUGGUAGUCCAUGCCGUAAACGAUGAGUGCUAAGUGUUGGAGGGUUUCCGCCCUUCAGUGCUGCAGCUAACGCAUUAAGCACUCCGCCUGGGGAGUACGACCGCAAGGUUGAAACUCAAAGGAAUUGACGGGGGCCCGCACAAGCGGUGGAGCAUGUGGUUUAAUUCGAAGCUACGCGAAGAACCUUACCAGGUCUUGACAUCUUCUGCCAAUCUUAGAGAUAAGACGUUCCCUUCGGGGACAGAAUGACAGGUGGUGCAUGGUUGUCGUCAGCUCGUGUCGUGAGAUGUUGGGUUAAGUCCCGCAACGAGCGCAACCCUUAUUAUCAGUUGCCAGCAUUCAGUUGGGCACUCUGGUGAGACUGCCGGUGACAAACCGGAGGAAGGUGGGGAUGACGUCAAAUCAUCAUGCCCCUUAUGACCUGGGCUACACACGUGCUACAAUGGACGGUACAACGAGUUGCGAAGUCGUGAGGCUAAGCUAAUCUCUUAAAGCCGUUCUCAGUUCGGAUUGUAGGCUGCAACUCGCCUACAUGAAGUUGGAAUCGCUAGUAAUCGCGGA